UGCCUGUACCAUAACCGACACAGGUGGGUAGGUAGAGUAUACUAAGGGGCGCGAGAUAACUCUCUCUAAGGAACUCGGCAAAAUGACUCCGUAACUUCGGGAGAAGGAGUGCCUUAUUUAUAAGGUUGCAAUAACAAGAUCCAAGCAACUGUUUAUCAAAAACACAGGUCUCCGCUAAGUCGUAAGACGAUGUAUGGGGGCUGACGCCUGCCCAGUGCCAGAAGGUUAAAGAAGUUGGUUAGUGUAUGCGAAGCUGAUGACUGGAGCCCUGGUGAACGGCGGCCGUAACAAUAACGGUCCUAAGGUAGCGAAAUUCCUUGUCGGGUAAGUUCCGACCCGCACGAAAGGCGUAAUGAUUUGGAUACUGUCUCGGAGAGAGGCUCGGUGAAAUAGACUUGUCUGUGAAGAUGCGGACUACCUGCACCAGGACAGAAAGACCCUAUGAAGCUUUACUGUAACUUGAAAUUGGAAUUGGACUUUGCUUGCGCAGUAUAGGUGGGAAGCGUUGAAGAUAUUCUUGCGGGAGUAUUGGAGCUAUCAGUGAGAUACCACUCUUGUAAUGUUAGAUUUCUAACUUUGAACCAUAAUCUGGUCAAAGAACAGUUUCAGGUGGGCAGUUUGACUGGGGCGGUCGCCUCCCAAAUGGUAACGGAGGCGUACAAAGGUUUCCUCUGAACGGAUAGAAAUCGUAUCUAGAGUGUAAAGGCAUAAGGAAGCUUGACUGUGAGACCUACAAGUCGAGCAGGGACGAAAGUCGGUCUUAGUGAUCUGACGGUACUGAGUGGAAAGGCCGUCACUCAACGGAUAAAAGUUACUCUAAGGAUAACAGGCUGAUCUCCCCCAAGAGUUCACAUCGACGGGGAGGUUUGGCACCUCGAUGUCGGCUCAUCGCAUCCUGGGGCGGUAGUACGUCCCAAGGGUUGGGCUGUUCGCCCAUGAAAGCGGUACGCGAGCUGGGUUCAGAACGUCGUGAGACAGUUCGGUCCAUAUCCGGUGUAGGCGUUAGAAUAUUGAGAGGAGCCUUCUUUAGUACGAGAGGACCGAGAAGGACACACCGCUGGUGUACCAGUUAUCGUGCCAACGGUAAACGCUGGGUAGCUAUGUGUGGAGUGGAUAACCGCUGAAAGCAUCUAAGUGGGAAGCCCACCUCAAGAUGAGUAUUCUCAUCACUAUAAGUGAGUAAGGUCACGGUAAGACUAACCGUUUGAUAGGCAUUAAGUGUAAAUGUAGUAAUGCAUGUGCUGAGAUGUCCUAACAGACCGAGGACUCG
rnacentral:rRNA from 1 species